UGCAGUCGAGCGGAUGAAGGGAGCUUGCUCCUGGAUUCAGCGGCGGACGGGUGAGUAAUGCCUAGGAAUCUGCCUGGUAGUGGGGGAUAACGUCCGGAAACGGGCGCUAAUACCGCAUACGUCCUGAGGGAGAAAGUGGGGGAUCUUCGGACCUCACGCUAUCAGAUGAGCCUAGGUCGGAUUAGCUAGUUGGUGGGGUAAAGGCCUACCAAGGCGACGAUCCGUAACUGGUCUGAGAGGAUGAUCAGUCACACUGGAACUGAGACACGGUCCAGACUCCUACGGGAGGCAGCAGUGGGGAAUAUUGGACAAUGGGCGAAAGCCUGAUCCAGCCAUGCCGCGUGUGUGAAGAAGGUCUUCGGAUUGUAAAGCACUUUAAGUUGGGAGGAAGGGCAGUAAGUUAAUACCUUGCUGUUUUGACGUUACCAACAGAAUAAGCACCGGCUAACUUCGUGCCAGCAGCCGCGGUAAUACGAAGGGUGCAAGCGUUAAUCGGAAUUACUGGGCGUAAAGCGCGCGUAGGUGGUUCAGCAAGUUGGAUGUGAAAUCCCCGGGCUCAACCUGGGAACUGCAUCCAAAACUACUGAGCUAGAGUACGGUAGAGGGUGGUGGAAUUUCCUGUGUAGCGGUGAUAUGCGUAGAUAUAGGAAGGAACACCAGUGGCGAAGGCGACCACCUGGACUGAUACUGACACUGAGGUGCGAAAGCGUGGGGGAGCAAACAGGAUUAGAUACCCUGGUAGUCCACGCCGUAAACGAUGUCGACUAGCCCGUUGGGAUCCUUGAGAUCUUAGUG
rnacentral:rRNA from 1 species